rnacentral:rRNA from 1 species
AUUGAACGCUGGCGGCAGGCCUAACACAUGCAAGUCGAACGAGUGGCGGACGGGUGAGUAAUGUCUGGGAAACUGCCUGAUGGAGGGGGAUAACUACUGGAAACGGUAGCUAAUACCGCAUACCAUCAGAUGUGCCCAGAUGGGAUUAGCUUGUUGGUGGGGUAACGGCUCACUAAGGCGACGAUCCCUAGCUGGUCUGAGAGGAGGACCAGCAACACUGGAACUGUGCCACGGUCAAGACUCCUACGGGAGGAAGCAGUGGGGAAUAUUGCACAAUGGGCGAAAGCCUGAUGCGGAAAUGCCGCGUGGAUAAAGCAGGCCUUCGGGUGGUAAAGUACGUUCAGCGGGGAGGCGUUACCCGCAGAAGAAGCACCGGCUAACUCCGUGCCAGCAGCCGCGGUAAUAC